rnacentral:rRNA from 1 species
GACGUAGGGUGCGAGCGUUGUCCGGAUUUAUUGGGCGUAAAGAGCUCGUAGGCGGUUUGUCGCGUCUGCUGUGAAAACUCGGGGCUUAACCCCGGGCCUGCAGUGGGUACGGGCAGACUAGAGUGCGGUAGGGGAGACUGGAAUUCCUGGUGUAGCGGUGAAAUGCGCAGAUAUCAGGAGGAACACCGGUGGCGAAGGCGGGUCUCUGGGCCGUAACUGACGCUGAGGAGCGAAAGCAUGGGGAGCGAACAGG